CAAAUCUAAAAUGUGUGUAUGUGACAUAAGUUAAAAAGAAAGAUUUUAACAAACUUACGCAAUAGACAAUGUACAUGUACAAGUACAGCGAGGGGGGGAAAAAUUUUUUUUUUCUGGAAUCGAGAGACAUGAUAGAGCUGCCUUUUGAAAGUCUGCAAAAGGAAAAAGAAUAUUAGUUUUAGCUUCUAUAAAAAGCAGAAAUAGUAAGAGCGCUUCAGAAUUAUGCAAUUAAUGCUAUUUGCAUAGAGGAGAAAUUGAAGCGGAAAUUAAAUAUUCUGAAGAAUGCUACUUACUGGCUGUGAAUAGUAUGUAGAACUGGCUAUCAAAGUGUUUGAGAUGCCCUCUUUGAAGUAAAAACAAAGGCUGCUUCUGACUGUUAAGAUAUUGUGAUAGGCGGGAAUGAGGAGGGUUUAAAAUAAUUGGACUUCACACCUAGCUUUUUGUGUAGGAAGGGGUGGGUUAACCCCAGUUGUUGGAAGUCUUUUAGCUUCUGUCUGGUUUCCUGGGGUCCUGUGAACAAAUGCAGGAUAAUAAAUAAGGGAACAGACAGAAGAAGUGAGAGUGCAUAGGCUGCCCUGGAGGUCUGAGCCACAGAAACCCAAUGCUGUUAUUUUCAGCAUGGCUUUGGAAGAUUUGGCAUGUAAAAGAAAGAUUGUGAUUAUCCAGAGAGUCAGCAGGGAAUGGAAAGCAUUGCAAGUUCUUGGAGCAUCGCGUUUUUAGUUUAUGGUGUAACAGCUCAUGCUUUUAUCUCUUGAAGUUCCUCAUAAUGUUCCUUGUAAGAUAACCUUCCCUCAAUACUCUGUUUUUAAAAGCUAAUUGUAUUAUUUGAAGUAAUGUACAUUUUAACAGGGAAAAGAGAAGAAAAUCGAGUACUGUAAUGUCGAGUCAUAAAGACCCAAAGACUAUUUUAGAAGAUCUUGUAAUGAAGCAUGGAACUGAGGAUGUAAUUAGUAUGGCACAGAUCUUUGAUGAUGCAGCAACACGUAAGGCAAAAUCUACAAAGUUUUACUAACAUGCAUAUGCCAGUCAAACUAACUUAUAUCAUAAAAAUGUAAGUUCUAUCCUGUCAUGCUGUUUCCCAU
rnacentral:lncRNA from 1 species